rnacentral:lncRNA from 1 species
UUAGAGAGCUCAAAUUAGAAACACAUAAACAUGGAUAAGAUGAGAAACAUAUAGACCAACAAAUAUAAAGAACAAGUAGGAGCUGAUUGAUAUCCAGAAAACAGGACUACUAUUUCAAAUUGUUAGCAAGGGGAUCAUGCUCGAAAAUUAAAAUAGUAAUAGACAGUAAGACAUAAAGACAUCGUAGGGGAAUAGUCAUGCUGAGGAUAGGGGUCUAUUACACAGAAUUAGUCAUGCUGCUUAGUCUUAAUCGAGUACAUAAAGAGUCUAUGAUACUAACAUGAGCAUAUUAGUUGAGGGAAAUAAACAAAAACUCAAGUAAACAUGUUGGUCAAGUAUCAUACAAGACAAGUGAGACCCAUACAUGCUAAUUACACACUUGAACAAGAAAGGGAAAAACUUAAGCAUAUUGAAAUAAGCAGUAAACAAGAAGGCAAUUAAAUGCAUAAGCUAUUAAACUAGUGCAGGACGAUACAUGGAUUAACAGACAUGGAGCACAUAGAGUUGAGUUUCAAAAUUGAACUAGGAACAUACCCGCUAAGAAAGCAAAGUGCAGAAAGUAAAGCAAGUAGAAUUCCACGGUCUAGCAAAGCAAGUAGAAUUCCACAGUCUAGCCUUGGCUUUCAGCCGGCUAGACAAGAAGUUAGCACAAGUAGCAGAGAAAUAAGAGAGUUUGAGCGUGUAUGUGUGUAUUCUAAACUAUUGUUCGUGUGUGUAAUGAAAAGAGAGGAGAGUAUAUAUAAUAGUUUGAAAGC